AUUGAACGCUGGCGGAAUGCUUUACACAUGCAAGUCGAACGGCAGCACGGACUUCGGUCUGGUGGCGAGUGGCGAACGGGUGAGUAAUGUAUCGGAACGUGCCCAGUCGUGGGGGAUAACGUAGUGAAAAUUACGCUAAUACCGCACACGAUCUAUGGAUGAAAGCGGGGGAUCGCCAGACCUCGCGCGAUUGGAGCGGCCGAUAUCAGAUUAGGUGGUUGGUGGGGUAAAGGCCCACCAAGCCAACGAUCUGUAGCUGGUCUGAGAGGACGACCAGCCACACUGGAACUGAGACACGGUCCAGAGUCCUACGGGAGGCAGAAGUGGGGAAUUUUGGACAAUGGGCGAAAGCCUGAUCCAGCCAUUCCGCGUGCAGGAUGAAGGCCCUCGGGUUGUAAACUGCUUUUGUACAGAACGAAAAGGUUUCUACUAAUACUAGGAGCUCAUGACGGUACUGUAAGAAUAAGCACCGGCUAACUACGUGCCAGCCGCCGCCGUAA
rnacentral:rRNA from 1 species